rnacentral:rRNA from 1 species
AUUGAACGCUGGCGGCAGGCCUAACACAUGCAAGUCGAGCGGAGGAAGGGAGCUUGCUCCUGUAUUCAGCGGCGGACGGGUGAGUAAUGCCUAGGAAUCUGCCUGGUAGUUGGGGAUAACGUCCGGAAACGGGCGCUAAUACCGCAUACGUCCUGAGGGAGAAAGUGGGGGAUCUUCGGACCUCACGCUAUCAGAUGAGCCUAGGUCGGAUUAGCUAGUUGGUGGGGUAAAGUCCUACCAAGGCGACGAUCCGUAACUGGUCUGAGAGGAUGAUCAGUCACACUGGAACUGAGACACGGUCCAGACUCCUACGGGAGGCAGCAGUGGGGAAUAUUGGACAAUGGGCGAAAGCCUGAUGGAGCCAUGCCGCGUGUGUGAAGAAGGUCUUCGGAUUGUAAAGCACUUUAAGUUGGGAGGAAGGGCAGUAAGUUAAUACCUUGCUGUUUUGACGUUACCAACAGAAUAAGCCCCGGCUAACUUCGUG